ensembl:miRNA
AGGCUCUUGCGUUUUGUUUGGGUUUGUUUUCAACAGGCUUGUAAAGGUUGUUGAUGUGCCAAACCUGAACAGCCU